GAGGAACUUGCCCAUGAGCGGGGGACAACAUUCGGAAACGGAUGCUAAUACCCCAUAGGUGGACUGGUCGCAUGACGAAUUCAUUAAAGGUGGCUUUGCUACCACUCAUGGAUAGCCUCGCGGCGUAUUAGCUAGUUGGUAAGGUAAUGGCUUACCAAGGCAGUGAUACGUAGCCGACUUGAGAGGGUGAUCGGCCACACUGGGACUGAGACACGGCCCAG
rnacentral:rRNA from 1 species